rnacentral:rRNA from 1 species
AGAGUUUGAUCCUGGCUCAGAACGAACGUUGAUGGCGUGCCUCAUACAUGCAAGUCGAGCGCCCCGCAAGGGGAGCGGCGGACGGGUUAGUAACACGUAAAGAAUCUGCCCUGAAGCGGGGAAUAACUAUCCCAACGGAUAGCUAAUACCGCAUAAUGGUGGAGGAGGCAUCUCCUCUUCUCAAAAGGCUUCGGCCACUUCAGGAUGACUUUGCGUCCCAUUAGCUUGUUGGCGGGGUAACGGCCCACCAAGGCUACGAUGGGUAUCCGGCCUGAGAGGGUGUACGGACACAUUGGGACUGAGAUACGGCCCAGACUCCUACGGGAGGCAGCAGUAGGGAAUUUUGCGCAAUGGGGGAAACCCUGACGCAGCAAUGCCAUGUGUGGGAUGAAGCAUUUCGGUGUGUAAACCACUGUCAGCGGGGAAUAAACGGCAGCUUCGGGCUGCUUUGAAUGUACCCGCAAAGGAAGCCCCGGCUAACUUCGUGCCAGCAGCCGCGGUAAUACGAGGGGGGCAAAUGUUAUUCGGAAUCACUGGGCGUAAAGGGAGCGUAGGCGGGGUCUUAAGUAAAGUGUUUAAUCCCGGGGCCCAACCCCGGACCGGCAUUUUAAACUGGGACUCUUGAAUAGUGGAGAGGUCGGUGGAAUUGGGGGUGUAGCGGUGGAAUGCGUAGAGAUCCCCAAGAACACCAGUUGCGAAGGCGGCCGACUGGACACAUAUUGACGCUGAGGCUCGAAAGCAUGGGGAGCAAACAGGAUUAGAUACCCUGGUAGUCCAUGCCAUAAACGAUGGAUACUAGGUUUUGGGCCCGUCAACGGUCCAGAGCCGCAGCUAACGCGUUAAGUAUUCCGCCUGGGGAGUACGGUCGCAAGACUGAAACUCAAAGGAAUUGACGGGGGCCCGCACAAGCGGUGGAGCAUGUGGUUUAAUUCGACGCAACGCGAAGAACCUUACCAAGGCUUGACAUGGGACAGACUGUACGAGAGAUCGUGCUUCUCUAGCAAUAGAGCUGUCCACACAGGUGCUGCAUGGCUGUCGUCAGCUCGUGUCGUGAGAUGUUGGGUUAAGUCCCGCAACGAGCGCAACCCCCGUUUCUAGUUGCCAUCAUUCAGUUGGGCCCUCUAGAGAGACUGCCGCGAAUAACGCGGAGGAAGGUGGGGACGACGUCAAGUCAUCAUGGCCCUUACGUCUUGGGCUACACACGUGCUACAAUGG